AUUGAACGCUGGCGGCAGGCCUAACACAUGCAAGUCGAGCGGAUGAAGGGAGCUUGCUCCUGGAUUCAGCGGCGGACGGGUGAGUAAUGCCUAGGAAUCUGCCUGGUAGUGGGGGAUAACGUCCGGAAACGGGCGCUAAUACCGCAUACGUCCUGAGGGAGAAAGUGGGGGAUCUUCGGACCUCACGCUAUCAGAUGAGCCUAGGUCGGAUUAGCUAGUUGGUGGGGUAAAGGCCUACCAAGGCGACGAUCCGUAACUGGUCUGAGAGGAUGAUCAGUCACACUGGACCUGAGACGCGGUCCAGACUCCUACGGGAGGCAGCAGUGGGGAAUAUUGGACAAUGGGCGAAAGCCUGAUCCAGCCAUGCCGCGUGUGUGAAGAAGGUCUUCGGAUUGUAAAGCACUUUAAGUUGGGAGGAAGGGCAGUAAGUUAAUACCUUGCUGUUUGGACGUUACCAACAGAAUAAGCACCGGCUAACUUCGU
rnacentral:rRNA from 1 species